GGAGAUAUAGCUUAGUGGUAGAGCACAUGCUCAGCAUGCAGGAGACCCUGGGUUCAAUCCCCAGUACCUCUA
rnacentral:tRNA from 1 species